UACGUAGGGAGCAAGCGUUGUCCGGAAUUACUGGGCGUAAAGCGUGCGCAGGCGGUGAUGUAAGACAGUUGUGAAAUCCCCGGGCUCAACCUGGGAACUGCAUCUGUGACUGCAUCGCUGGAGUGCGGCAGAGGGGGAUGGAAUUCCGCGUGUAGCAGUGAAAUGCGUAGAUAUGCGGAGGAACACCGAUGGCGAAGGCAAUCCCCUGGGCCUGCACUGACGCUCAUGCACGAAAGCGUGGGGAGCAAACAGG
rnacentral:rRNA from 1 species